rnacentral:rRNA from 1 species
UACAGGGGGUGCAAACGUUGCUCGGAAUCAUUGGGCGUAAAGCGCGCGCAGGCGGUCCUUCAAGUCAGAGGUGAAAGCCCAGAGCUCAACUCUGGAAUGGCCUUUGAGACUAGAGGACUUGGGUACGGGAGAGGUGAGUGGAAUUCCGAGUGUAGAGGUGAAAUUCGUAGAUAUUCGGAAGAACACCAGUGGCGAAGGCGGCUCACUGGCCCGUUACCGACGCUCAGGCGCGACAGCGUGGGGAGCAAACAGG